GGGCAACUGAGCCCUGCACACACACCUUCUUAUCGUGGCUGUUACUGUUGUUAUCAUAUCCUGUGUUUGUUGAUUCCAUCCAGAUUCAUCUUGUUCCUGACACAAAAAUGGCUCUGUGGGGAAAAAAAAGAGAAAAAUACUGGGAUGGACGUGAAAAGUUAUACACUGGCUGGCAAAAGAGAAUCAGCAUGGGAUGAAGCCAAAGUGCUCCACCAUCAAUUAAGAAGAUCAAUCCAGAUUCCCAGGUUUGAGAGCCUGAUCAUGAGUAACCUGUGGUUGAUAUAGGCUUCAACUCCUUCCUCCUACUUCCAUGUGAUACUUUUGUGGUCUCAAGCCAGCAAGCAAGCAGUAUAUGAGGAAUAUGAUCCCUGAUUGUGAGUGAAAUUUUUAGUCUACCUUGUAUAGAGGACAUUUGACUUACUCAGAAAGAUGCAGUCUUGGAACAAGGAAUUUAGGAAG
rnacentral:lncRNA from 1 species